rnacentral:rRNA from 1 species
CACGUAGGGCGCGAGCGUUGUCCGGAAUUAUUGGGCGUAAAGAGCUCGUAGGCGGCCUGCUGCGUCCGCUGUGAAAGCCCGGGGCUUAACCCCGGGUCGGCAGUGGAUACGGGCAGGCUAGAGGUAGGUAGGGGAGAAUGGAAUUCCCGGUGUAGCGGUGAAAUGCGCAGAUAUCGGGAGGAACACCGGUGGCGAAGGCGGUUCUCUGGGCCUUACCUGACGCUGAGGCGCGAAAGCUAGGGGAGCAAACAGG